GCCUGGCAGUGAUGAUACAGACUUUCAGCUUCAAUGCCAGUUCUGCUUCUGAUAAUUCAUGACUGAUAAAGCUGAUAUAGAUCUGAGCCAACU
rnacentral:snoRNA from 1 species